rnacentral:rRNA from 1 species
CUACGGAGGGAGCAAGCGUUAUUCGGAAUCACUGGGCGUAAAGGACGCGUAGGCGGGUUUGUAAGUCAGGUGUGAAGUCCUACAGCUCAACUGUAGAACUGCACUUGAAACUACAGACCUAGAGUAUGGAAGGGGCAGAUGGAAUUAGUGGUGUAGGGGUAAAAUCCGUAGAUAUCACUAGGAAUACCGAAAGCGAAGGCGAUCUGCUGGGACAUUACUGACGCUGAGGCGUGAAAGCGUGGGGAGCAAACAGGAUUAGAAACCCCUGUAGUCC